GGGGGUAGAGCACUGUUUCGGCUAGGGGGCCAUCCCGGCUUACCAACCCGAUGCAAACUGCGAAUACCGGAGAAUGUUAUCACGGGAGACACACGGCGGGUGCUAACGUCCGUCGUGAAGAGGGAAACAACCCAGACCGCCAGCUAAGGUCCCAAAGUCAUGGUUAAGUGGGAAACGAUGUGGGAAGGCCCAGACAGCCAGGAUGUUGGCUUAGAAGCAGCCAUCAUUUAAAGAAAGCGUAAUAGCUCACUGGUCGAGUCGGCCUGCGCGGAAGAUGUAACGGGGCUAAACCAUGCACCGAAGCUGCGGCAGCGACACUGUGUGUUGUUGGGUAGGGGAGCGUUCUGUAAGCCUGUGAAGGUGGCCUGUGAGGGUUGCUGGAGGUAUCAGAAGUGCGAAUGCUGACAUAAGUAACGAUAAAGCGGGUGAAAAGCCCGCUCGCCGGAAGACCAAGGGUUCCUGUCCAACGUUAAUCGGGGCAGGGUGAGUCGACCCCUAAGGCGAGGCCGAAAGGCGUAGUCGAUGGGAAACGGGUUAAUAUUCCCGUACUUGGUGUUACUGCGAAGGGGGGACGGAGAAGGCUAUGUUGGCCGGGCGACGGUUGUCCCGGUUUAAGCGUGUAGGUGUGUGUUCCAGGUAAAUCCGGUU
rnacentral:rRNA from 1 species